rnacentral:lncRNA from 1 species
AGCAUAGAUUGACCAGACGGUAACUGAUUAGAUGCAGGUUCAUCAUAAUGCUUUAUGAACUGCUUGCAGUCUAGGAGCUUUGACGCCGAGCUGGAGGCAGCCUCCUCUGUGGCUUGUGGCCUGUAGGAUUGCAUGGUCGCAGGAUUAAGAAGAGCAUCAUACAGGAAUUUGAGGUCCUGGAGAAGCUGAUCAGCAGAUGGCCUGGACAAGUAGCUGGUGGUCAUUGUCUGGUUCGAAGCUGCCUCAAGCCUGCAUUUUCAGAAGAAAGACGUACACAAACAAAUCAGAUUUGAUGAAAAAGAUUUUAUUUUAUUCUGUUCGCAAGAAGAAAUAAUAUACUUAUCAUAAGCAAUCUCCUAGUCAUUGUGCGAUAGUAUUAAUUUCUAUUGCAUAGAGUUGCCGAUGCCUGCUGAAUAACGGAUUUAAAACUACUAAAUAGGCAAGAUAAGAGAUGUAUGUUUCGACUGACCUGUACUCAAUUGCACUUGUUUCAGCAUUGCGUCGGGCUGCAACAACCAUGCCAUCGCCGGUUGCCUUACCGCCCAGUUCCUUGAGGCAAUGGUCAAGCAGCUCUGGGGACUUC